rnacentral:rRNA from 1 species
UACGUAGGGUGCAAGCGUUAAUCGGAAUUACUGGGCGUAAAGCGUGCGCAGGCGGUUUUGUAAGUCUGGCGUGAAAUCCCCGGGCUCAACCUGGGAAUUGCGUUGGAGACUGCAAGGCUAGAAUCUGGCAGAGGGGGGUAGAAUUCCACGUGUAGCAGUGAAAUGCGUAGAGAUGUGGAGGAACACCGAUGGCGAAGGCAGCCCCCUGGGUCAAGAUUGACGCUCAUGCACGAAAGCGUGGGGAGCGAACAGG